GGGGAAUUUUGCACAAUGGGCGGAAGCCUGAUGCAGCGACGCCGCGUGAGGGAUGACGGCUUUCGGGUUGUAAACCUCUUUUAUCCAUGACGAAGGCAUGCUUUUUGGUGUGUUGACGGUAGUGGUUGAAUAAGCGCCGGCUAACUACGUGCCAGCAGCCGCGGUAAGACGUAGGGCGCGAGCGUUGUCCGGAUUUAUUGGGCGUAAAGGGCUCGUAGGCGGUUCGUCGCGUCUGCCGUGAAAGACUACAGCUUAACUGUGGUUUUGCGGUGGAUACGGGCGGGCUUGAGGCCAGUAGGGGAGAUCGGAAUUCUACGUGUAGCGGUGAAAUGCGCAGAUAUGUGGAGGAACACCGGUGGCGAAGGCGGAUCUCUGGGCUGGUUCUGACGCUGAGGAGCGAAAGCAUGGGGAGCGAAC
rnacentral:rRNA from 1 species